CCAUACACACACACGUCGUCGAGGUCUCCCUGCUUGCAGUUCCAUCGGUGACGAGGCAUCGACCAGACCCUAUACUCAUGCCGGGAACUAAGCACGGCGGACAAAAGAGACGGCUUCAGCACCAACGCACCUACACCGUUACCAGCUUCCCAGCAGUGGUCCCACCGUGGCCGCGGAGGGAAGGGAGAGGGGAUCUAGACCUUCCAUGGCAGAGCCCGAAGGGUCUAGACAACCUAGUUUUUAACACCCACUACCUUAGUUUUAAACAACCUAGUCUUUAACGCCAACUACCUUAAUUUUGAACCUACACUAGUUUAAUCUCUCCUGUACCGCAUGACUAAUGACUUUCCUUAGACACUCAAGGACGUUCUACGUAGAGGUUGUAAAGAACACGUCGAAAGAGGACCUUGGCAACAAUACUUGGUUAGUUGAGAAACUCUUAAUUUCAAACGGUUGGAGCGGACAAGCUUGAAACUUGGGUUCUGCGGUGACGAAGAAGAUCCAGGGCGUCGAACUAGGGCGGUUCUCGUCCGACCUCCUCCUUCGUCUCUCCCUCUACCCUCUCCCUCUCCUCUAGAGCCGGACGUGUGACGUGGGGCGCAGAGGGUGUUCGAUGUUGUUGUCCUCUUGGCAUAUGUGUCGUAGGAAGAGUUUCGGACGUCGAUGACGGAGGGGUUCGUUACGGUUGGACGUCGUUGUUCUCCGAAUGUAGGAACACUAAGGAGUACUGAGCCUUCCUCCUCGUGCCCGGCAUCUCUGCCUUCUCCUCCAACUCUGUCAGUGCCGCGGACGACGUUACUGGUGCCGGUGAUGUACUUUUCUUUCUGUUGUUUUAGAUAAUCCGGAUGAGUACGACCUAAACCCGAGUCGGGCUAAUGUUUUGUCAUCGUUUACUCUCCUUAUGUUCUUCAGUUCUUCUGGGAAGAGAGGUACAGAAUUCAAAGUGUGAUGGAGCGGACCUAGGCCUUGACGCCGAUGUCACUGGAGUUGUAUCAGAUCCAUCUGUGGGUCACCAAUUCUGACACAUCACUCGGUACGGAAACACUCUCCUGGUUCUUUUCUUUCCGUACAACAUGGAUGGGAUGUAACUGUCAGUAAUAAUCGGGUAACACCAUGAAGUUUAGACUAUUUCUUAUAUAAAGUACAGACUCUGUACUCUAAACCUCAGAGCCAAGACUAUACAUGCCUGGAGGAAAAUAAAACAGUACAACGACUAUUAAGACUAUACCCUGAUAAACAAGACAAAUACAGAAUCUUUAUUACUUUACUGGAUAUACAAUUCAAUAGAAUAAAAUUAAUAUAAUACAACAACUACUACAUACCAAGACCUUAAACUUCCAAUUGUAAGUCCGACAACCAUAGAACUUAGAAAAAACGAAAGAGACUUGAACUACGUUUGUCAAACUGGAUAGACCGUCAUCGAGACCGAAAAACUUUGUUUAAAACAGUACACGAAACGUUUAAUUAAUAGGACAACUGAAUCAUAUGAGUCAUAUGGUACAAAAAAUAUAUAGAGAUGACAAACAUUAGCGGUGAUUUGAGUAAUCAGAACUUUCUCACGGUAUUAAAGGAAACUUACAUGUUCUAAAUAUGUACGACCCAGUACCGUGAACCUGCCCGUUACACGCGGUUCCGCGCGAAACCAGAUCCCGGUGUUAUUGUUGUUAACCAGUUCGAAACAGCUCCGCCGUCCCUAGUCCCUCAUAGUCUAUACAAGGAAACGGAAGCUUUGAAGUUCACGUAACAGAUAUCUCUUUAGUAAUAUACGGUAUAUAGAGUGUAUAACAAACGUAGUCCAACGGAUACUUCGAGUAACUGUUCCGUCAACUUACUUCGGUGAAUAAACGUAACAUCAAGCAAGACAAAAUAGUACGAGUAUGAGAUAGGUAACGGAGAGAGCGUAAGUGCGAAAAUCAUAGUCUGAAUUACAGUUCACACAAAACACAAGAGCACUUACGUGAUUUGAGCUACGACGGAAUGCUAUUACAAUACCACUACAACUUAAGGUAUAACAGAACGAAGAUGGUACACACUUAUAAAGAAGUAAGAAAACAAAAAAAAUAGAACAAACUUAUACAUGAUAUUUGAACCUAAUGAUGACUGAAUUGUAAUGGUCGAACUG
rnacentral:rRNA from 1 species